AUCGAAGAGUGUUUGAUAGAAGAGGAGGUAUUGGCGUGUCUCAAUUUAAGGACGUGGUUGGAUAUUGUCAACAGCUAUGUAAUUUGAUUGAGCCGCGUCAAUAUCUCCUUGUGCUUCAAGCACUCAAACGAAU
rnacentral:pre_miRNA from 1 species